GCGCUCGCUUCGGUAGCACAUAUAUUAAAUUGGAACGAUACAGAGAAGAUUAGCAUGGCCCCUGCGCGAGGAUGACACCCAAAUUCAUGAAGCAUUCCGUAUUUUU